rnacentral:rRNA from 1 species
UACGUAGGGUGCAAGCGUUGUCCGGAAUCAUUGGGCGUAAAGCGCGCGUAGGCGGCUAGAUCAGUCUGCUGUAAAAGUCAAAGGCUCAACCUUUGAAAGCCGGUGGAUACUGUCUAGCUAGAGUCCGGAAGAGGCGAGUGGAAUUCCUGGUGUAGCGGUGGAAUGCGCAGAUAUCAGGAGGAACACCAACGGCGAAGGCAGCUCGCUGGGACGGUACUGACGCUAAGGCGCGAAAGCGUGGGGAGCGAACAGG